rnacentral:rRNA from 1 species
UACGUAGGGGGCAAGCGUUGUCCGGAUUUACUGGGCGUAAAGAGCGCGCAGGCGGUCGUUCAAGUCGCGUGUGAAAGCCCCCGGCUCAACUGGGGAGGGUCACGCGAUACUGAUCGACUCGAAGGCAGGAGAGGGUAGUGGAAUUCCCGGUGUAGUGGUGAAAUGCGUAGAUAUCGGGAGGAAUACCGGUGGCGAAGGCGGCAUCCUGGACCAUUACUGACGCUGAGGCGCGAAAGCUAGGGGAGCAAACGGG